rnacentral:rRNA from 1 species
AUUGAACGCUGGCGGCAUGCCUUACACAUGCAAGUCGAACGGCAGCGCGGACUUCGGUCUGGCGGCGAGUGGCGAACGGGUGAGUAAUACAUCGGAACGUACCCUGUUGUGGGGGAUAACUAGUCGAAAGAUUAGCUAAUACCGCAUACGACCUCAGGGUGAAAGUGGGGGACCGCAAGGCCUCACGCAGCAGGAGCGGCCGAUGUCUGAUUAGCUAGUUGGUGGGGUAAAGGCCCACCAAGGCGACGAUCAGUAGCUGGUCUGAGAGGACGAUCAGCCACACUGGGACUGAGACACGGCCCAGACUCCUACGGGAGGCAGCAGUGGGGAAUUUUGGACAAUGGGGGCAACCCUGAUCCAGCAAUGCCGCGUGUGUGAAGAAGGCCUUCGGGUUGUAAAGCACUUUUGUCCGGAAAGAAAUCGCGCUGGUUAAUACCUGGCGUGGAUGACGGUACCGGAAGAAUAAGCACCGGCUAACUACGUG